GAUGAACGCUAGCGACAGGCCUAACACAUGCAAGUCGAGGGCAGCAUAAAGGUAGCAAUACUUUGGUGGCGACCGGCGCACGGGUGAGUAACACGUAUGCAACCUACCUGUAAGAGGGGAAUAACCCGGAGAAAUUCGGACUAAUACCGCAUAAUACUGAUUAUCUGCAUGGAUUGAUCAGUUAAACAUUUAUGGCUUACAGAUGGGCAUGCGUAUGAUUAGAUAGUUGGUAGGGUAACGGCCUACCAAGUCAACGAUCAUUAGGGGUUCUGAGAGGAAGGUCCCCCACACUGGUACUGAGACACGGACCAGACUCCUACGGGAGGCAGCAGUGAGGAAUAUUGGUCAAUGGGCGAGAGCCUGAACCAGCCAAGUCGCGUGAAGGAAGAAGGUUCUAUGGAUUGUAAACUUCUUUUGUAAGGGAAUAAAAAGAGUUACGUGUAACUUAUUGUAUGUACUUUACGAAUAAGGAUCGGCUAACUCCGUG
rnacentral:rRNA from 1 species